rnacentral:rRNA from 1 species
UACGUAGGGUGCAAGCGUUGUCUGGAAUUAUUGGGCGUAAAGCGCGUGUAGGCGGCUCGAUAAGUCUGCUGUGAAAGUCCAGGGCUCAACCCUGGGAUGCCGGUGGAUACUGUCGAGCUCGAGUCCGGAAGAGGCGAGUGGAAUUCCUGGUGUAGCGGUGAAAUGCGCAGAUAUCAGGAGGAACACCAAUGGCGAAGGCAGCUCGCUGGGACGUGACUGACACUGAGGCACGAAAGCGUGGGGAUCAAACAGG